GUGCCAGCAGCCGCGGUAAUACAGAGGGUGCAAGCGUUAAUCGGAUUUACUGGGCGUAAAGCGCGCGUAGGUCGGCUAAUUAAGAUACAAAUGUGAAAUCCCCGAGCUUAACUUGGGAAUUGCAUUCGAUACUCCGUUAGCUAGAGUGUGGGAGAGGAUGGUAGAAUUCCAGGUGUAGCGGUGAAAUGCGUAGAGAUCUGGAGGAAUACCGAUGGCGAAGGCAGCCAUCUGGCCUAACACUGACGCUGAGGUGCGAAAGCAUGGGGAGCAAACAGGAUUAGAUACCCUGGUAGUCC
rnacentral:rRNA from 1 species